GUUUUUGUGUUUUUUAUUCAACAGGAACAUCGACAAAAGAUAUGGUGUCAUUGAAUGUGAUCCACUAGUUCGCAAGGGCCUCGAAAGAACUUUGGGAGCAACUGCUGUCAAUUUGGUUGCUGGAGAAAAACCUGCUGAUGUUUACUCAGGAAUAGCUGCUAGAUCACAUUGACUGCAUUGGGAGAGAUGUUUCAAGCUGCUCGUAGUAUCAUGGGCUGGCUCGGUGACUGUGCAAAGGGAAAUGAUAUGCAUACGACAAAGUUGCUAAACAUUUGAAGUGGCUAAAACAAUAUCGAUGGGGCCAUCAUUGAAAAGUGGAUCAAAAGUUGGGAAAAGUGGAUCAAAAGUUCACGAACCAGACCAGCACCCUCCCCAACAUAUUUCUUAACAAGUUCACGAAGCUAAAUUGUACAAGACUACUUGGCAGUAUGAGCAUUUUUGGGAGGAUUAAAUAUUUUUGGAUGGAUGUGUAUGGAUAACAAAUAUUAGUAGUUUUAUUUGUUGAUAGCUGC